GCCUGUUUUUCUUAAACGCAGGUGUACAAGUAUUUUAAAUAUAUAUAGUUACACGUGUGUAAGUCUAAAACUGGCUUUGUAAAUUCAGCCCUAUAAGUCAGAUUAACAUGUGACUAGCAGUUAUAUACCUGUCGUAUGGUUACGUGUGUUUGGCCUCUAUUUCAUGCAAAAAUUUACAUGAUUACGUGAUUUAUGCAGCAAUUAAAGUACAGACAAAAUAAAAUAGUAGCAAGGGAUCUUUUGUAUGCACCAUCCCACAAACAGUAUAGAAUAUACCACAGCCUUUAAUAUACCAGUCGUGGUGCACUGGCUGGAACAAGAAGUACAUAGCCUAAUGGGCUCACCAAUGGGGAUCGAUCUCAAACCAACCGCACAUCAAGCGAACUCUUUACCACUGGGCUGUGUUCCACCCCAAGUCUUAUUAUAUAUGCAGAUCUUUAAUGUUUUUAUAUUUAGAGUAAUUUAUUAGAAUAACAGGUAUUGCCAAAUAUUACUAAUUUAUUUACACUUGAAAGUGAUGACCUUUGUCAAUGCAGCUGUUGUCAAAACCACCUAAUAUAAUAGUGUUGAUUUAGGUGUGCUUCUGGUGAUCAACAAAUGAGUUAUUGGAGAGAAAAAAAUUAAGUAAAAAACAAAACAACAACAACAAAAUGUUAAGUACAAUUUCUAGAAAAUGUUCUUGACAAAUUUUAUCUGAUCCUGCCAGGACAUUCACUGGGGUUUGAAGGUGGCAAAAAUAGUACAGAAUAAUUACAUGCUCUCAUCUGGUGUAACCAGACAGAGACAGAAAAUGAGCUCUACUAAUUAUUAGUUGGCCAAGUCAUGGUGUUUCAAUCAUGCCAUCCUUUUCAUGGGAGUACUGUCAUAACUAGAUUGACUGAGUGGCAUCUGCAAUGUUUAUUGAUUUGUCAAUCCCACUCACCCCAUAUGAAAGGUCUGUAAUGUAUAUAAAAGUUAUUUCCUGACCAUCUAACACAAUUUGAUGCAACCAGUGGAUCAAGGUGAGAUUUAAAAAAAAAAAAUCUCAUCAUUUCAGUUUACACAGUCAUUUAGGGCUAGUGAAUUUUUAAUCAUGGCUAGUACAUUUUUAAAAAUCACUGAUCCCAUGGCUAGUGGAUUUUAUUAAAAUUCUACAAGUCCUGUAUCUCGAAUGUAAUGAUAUCUCUCUCAUACUGGCUGACACCAAUAAGUUUGAGAUAUACAGAGUUUUCUGUAUUUCACUGUGUAUAAUUAGUAACUGUAUAGAAUUUAACAAAAUAGUGUUCUUGUUUUUCAUUUCCAUGUCUGUCAUGGAAUUAAUUUUAUGGGUUAAAUAAAGUGGGCCAAAUUUACGAAGCCUGUUAUUCUUAAACGCAGGUGUUUAAGCUCUGUAAAUGUAUGUAGUUACAGGUGUGUAAGUGAAAAACAGGUGUUUAAGCUCUGUAAAUGUGUGUCGUUACAGGUGUGUAAGUGAGAAACAGGUGUUUAAGCUCUGUAAAUGUGUGUAGUUACAGGUGUGCAAGUGAAAAACAGGCUUGGUAAAUUUGGCCCAGUAAUUUUACAUAAACAGUAAUCUUCAGUACUGUUCCUGGCUUCAAAUGUAAGUUUUGCUUUUGGUGUCAUGAUUUAAAAUGACAUAUAGUAUCUUAUGAUUAUAAUUAUAUUUUUGUUGAUUUGUAGCAAAUUAGUAUAAUUGUAUUUUAUUUUUUUAUUUAUUUACAUAGCAUAUUUACUUUACAAAUUUGUUGGAUUUGGUUUAGAUAGUUAAUGUAAAUAAUAAUGAUGAUAAUGAUGAUUAUUAUUAUUAUUAUUAUUAUUAUUAUUAUUUGAAAUAUGUGCAAUCAGGAUGAAAUUUAUUAUGUAUGUGAAUGGCAUAAAACUGUAAAACGUUAUUUAAUUCUUAAAGAUAACACAUUUUAAUUGUUCCUUUUACAAAUGUGUAUCAAUAAAUGUUAAAACAAAAGUUAAUGACAGGAAAGGAUCAUAAUUUUAUUACUGUUGUGUCAUUUAAAUACAGUUACAUAUCUCACAAAAGCACAACCUAAAAACCAGUUUUAUUAAAGGUGCAGACCCUAAUUGUAACUUGUAAAAAUGGACACUGAGUUUAGUUAAUCUACAAACCUGUAACACAUUUGGAUAAAGUUACAACUGAGUGAAAGAAGUGUCUGUGACAUUUAGACCGGAAAAUAUCCUUAAAAAAUAGACGAACUCAAAUUAAUAACCGCUUCUUCUCAGAGGCACAUGUGUUUUUAAAAAUAUGAAAAAUGCAUUUUGUGGUAUUAGAAACAACAGAAUGACUAGAAACACUUUGAUUCUACGGAAAUGGAUAAUCUAAACAAUAAAAUAUAAAUAAUAUUUGAUUUCAGUGAUUAUAAAUGGCUCUAAUAGUGAAAUAUAUGCUGUAGUGUUUAAAACCUAGGGACUGUCCCUUUAAAUACACACACACACACACACACACACAUACCCACCCCCCAACAUCGUGUGUAGUUUAUUUUCUCAUGUCACAUAUUAAAGGGAGAGUAAACUCAAACAAGAGCUUUAUGUGUUGGAAAGACGCAUACCCGGAUCACCAACACAUACUGACACUUUAACAAAUGAUAAAUGCAUAAUUUUAGAGUUAAUAAAAAAACAUGAUUAUUCCUGCUAACUGGGGGCAGCCAUUUUCUUUUGUUUUCGGCAUGUCCGGAAUUCUAGUUUUAAAUUUCUUUAAUGUUAGGUCCUCUGUUCAGGCCUGUAGGAACGAUAUCUGAAAUGUGUGUAUGGGGGGAGGGGAGGGUACACCAUCUCUAGUGAGCUAACUAAUUUUGGGUGGGUGGGUGAGUGCAAAAUCCAUUUUCCUUCUGUGAUAAAUAGAGUACAACGAAAAAAAAAUAUUUUGUCCAAGUGGGGGCACUGCCCCCCCCCCCCCAUUCCUAUGGGCCUGCUGUUUGUUCUCUAGUAUUUAAUAAAUAAAGUGCAGUUGAAUUUUACAUAUUUAUAUUAUUGCAACAUUAGUCAUUUUUAAAAAAAGAUUAUAUAUUUUUUAGUUUUUAUCUUAGUUUUUUAGUUUUUAUUAUUAGUUUUUAAUACAAAUAAUGUAGCAUUUAUCCUUUUUGAAUUGAUAUAUACUUUAUGUAAUGUUACAGCUAAAUGCCUUGGGGUUUUUUCAAAUGAAACUACAAAGUAUUAUAAUUAUUUUUGGUUUUUACUUUAAACUUUCUUAAUUGGAAGAUUUAUCUGUUAAAAUUUAAUGUAAAAAUAAGAAUUUUUGGUAACCUAAAAGUGAACCCUUCCUUAUUGUGUUUACUGUUUAUCUAUUUAUAUUGGUAGUAAAUUGAUGUACAUCACACUACUAAUAUACUACACCAAUAGCCUAAAAUUUGUAUUUAAUUAUUAUUUUGAUGGUUCCUGGGUAUUUUUUUUUUUUUUAAUAAUGUGAAAGAAAACAUGAAAUGUUUUGACUGUGAUAACAUGGUGUGUUAUUUCUUGGUGUGGGUAAGUUUAUUUAACAAGUUCAGUUUUGUAAUAUUUAUUCACUUUACUCAUUUAUUUACUGAUAAACACAGUCCGUCCGUAUGUUCUUCAUAUACAACUUUAUUUGAGAAAUAUACUCUGUGUAUUACUGUUUUUUAUACAUGUAUUUACAAUUAAAAUAACAUCUCUUGUUGAAUUUUGUGGGUAUGAACACUAAAUAUGCUUGAAAGGAUUGUAUUCUUCAUGAUAUAUACCAUGAGAAGAGUCCCGUGAUUGUGAUAAUACGAUAAAUACUUUUGAAUUAAAAAAUUAAUAUAUUGAUAUGUUUUUUAAUGUUUAUUGAUAAUGUGUAACUAUACUGUCAAACCUGUGUAAGUGCCAACUGUAAUAAAUAGGCAUCUGGCCUCAGGUCACAGUUAUCUUCCCAUUUGGUUGACCAAAGUCCGGAAAUAUGUCUGCACAAGUAAUCUGCUAUUUGACUAUGAUUCUCAUGGCAGACAGCUUUGAAGUGGCAACUAUUAAACUUAAGUUGACAGGGGAGAGCGUGUAGUUUGCAAACAUAUGUAACUGGUAACAUAGAAGACGUUUUUGUGGUAAUUCCGUCUCAGGCAAAAGUAGUGCUUUUUGUGUAAAAUGGGUGUUCUCCGGCCAGGUUUAGUGGGUGUGUUUGUUUAAACCAGUAUCCGGGGAGAAAGAGCUGCUAUAUAUCACGCGUGCUCACUGGUUUGUGUAUCCUUUCUGGCGCCUCGUGCUAUAGAUCACAUGCGAGCACUGGUUUGUGUGCAUCUGUUUUGACGCCCCGUGCUAUAGAUCACGGGCGCACAUUUGUGUAUCCUGGGAGAAAGAGCUGCUAUAUAUCACGCGCGCUCACUGUAUCCUUUCUAGCGCCACGUGCUAUAGAUCACGGGCGCACAUUUAUUUGUAUAUCCUGGGAGAAAGAGAUGCUAUAUAUCACGCGCGUUCACUGGUUUGUGUAUCCUUUCUGGCGCCUCGUGCUAUAGAUCACGUGCGCUCACUGCUUUUUGUAUCCUUUCUGGCGCCUCGUGCUAUAGAUCACGUGCGCUCACUGGUUUCUGUGUAUGUUUUGACGCCCCGUGCAAUAGAUCACGUGCGCACAUUUGUUUGCAGGGGCGUAGGCUUGGGGGGGGGGGGGGGGUUCGGAUGACACACACACCCACCCCGCUGAAGCAAAUGGUCCGCUUUCAGAACUAAAUCAUUCAGGUUUAUACAUAUGGAGUUUCUGGUGGUGCAAAAACAAAAUAGAAAAAGGUCCACUUGGUUCAUAUUCGACCCCCCCCCCCCCCAGGUCCAGAUCAUGCUACGCCCCUGUGUUUGUGUAUAUGUAUUCUGAUGCCCUGUGCUAUAGGUUACGUACGCACAUGUGUUUGUGUAUUCUCGUUCUGAUGCUCCAUGCUAUAGGUCACGUACGCACACUUGUUUGUGUACAUUUAUCCUGAUGCCCCGUGCUAUAGCUUACAUGCACUCGUGGUGGCUGCUAAAUGCAUAAAACAGGUUUGACAGUAUAUUAUUUAAUGAUUAUUUGGAAUAUGUUUUACUACUCAAUUAUAUACACAUAUAAUUAUCACUACUUACGUUUGCUAUUAAAUAUGAUUUGAUAUCA